rnacentral:misc_RNA from 1 species
AACGCACAUUGCGCCCCUUGGUAUUCCGAGGGGCAUGCCUGUUCGAGCGUCAUUUCAACCCUCAAGCGUAGCUUGGUCUUGGGCUUCGCCGCUGACGCGGCGGGUCUUAAAAUCAGUGGCGGUGCCGUCGGGCCCUGAGCGCAGUACAUCUCCUCGCUAUAGGACCCCGGCGGAUGCUAGCCAGCAACCCCCAAUCUUCCAUGGUUGACCUCGGAUCAGGUAGGGAUACCCGCUGAACUUAA